rnacentral:rRNA from 1 species
UUAAGCAUAUCAAUAAGCGGAGGAAAAGAAACUAACAAGGAUUCCCCUAGUAACGGCGAGUGAAGAGGGAAGAGCUCAAAUUUUGAAUCUGGCGUCUUUGGCGUCUGAAUUGUAAUCUAGAGAAGUGUUUUCCGUGAUGGACCGUGCACAAGUCUCCUGGAAUGGAGCGUCAUAGAGGGUGAGAAUCCCGUAUAUGGCAUGGACUACCGUUACUCUGUGAUACACUCUCGACGAGUCGAGUUGUUUGGGAAUGCAGCUCCAAAUGGGUGGUAAAUGCCAUCUAAAGCUAAAUAUUGGCGAGAGACCGAUAGCGAACAAGUACCGUGAGGGAAAGAUGAAAAGCACUUUGGAAAGAGAGUGAAACAGUACGUGAAAUUGUUGAAAGGGAAACGCUUGAAGUCAGUCGCGCCGUUCGGGAUUCAGCCUUGCUUCUGCUCGGUUUACUUCCCGUUGGGUGGGUCAACAUCAGUUUUGGUCGGAGGAGAAAGGCUUGGGGAAGGUGGCAGCAUUCGUGCUGUGUUAUAGCCCCUUGUUGUAUACUUCGACUGGGACUGAGGACCGCAGCACGCCUUUGGCCGGGGUUCGCCCACGUACGUGCUUAGGAUGUUGGCAUAAUGGCUUUAAGCGACCCGUCUUGAAACACGGACCAAGGAGUCUAACAUGUGCGCGAGUGUUUGAGUGUUAAACUCAGACGCGAAAUGAAAGUGAAAAGUUGGGAACACUCAUGUGUGCACCGACGCCCGGAGCUGACCUUCUGUGACGCAUCUGCGGUAGAGCGUAUAUGUUGGGACCCGAAAGAUGGUGAACUAUGCCUGAAUAGGGUGAAGCCAGAGGAAACUCUGGUGGAGGCUCGUAGCGAUUCUGACGUGCAAAUCGAUCGUCAAAUUUGGGUAUAGGGGCGAAAGACUAAUCGA